ACGGCUAUACUAAAUUGAAAACACCGGUUCUCGUCCGAUCACCGAAGCAACGUCGGGCCCGGUCAGUACUUGGGAGGGUGACCACCAGGGAACACCGGGAGUAGCUGUAGGCU